CCUACGGGCGGCUGCAGUGGGGAAUAUUGGACAAUGGGCGAAAGCCUGAUCCAGCCAUGCCGCGUGUGUGAAGAAGGCCUUCGGGUUGUAAAGCACUUUCAGUGGGGAAGAAAGCCUUGGGGCUAAUACCCUCGAGGAAGGACAUCACCCACAGAAGAAGCACCGGCUAACUCCGUGCCAGCAGCCGCGGUAAUACGGAGGGUGCGAGCGUUAAUCGGAAUUACUGGGCGUAAAGCGCGCGUAGGCGGUCUGAUAAGCCGGUUGUGAAAGCCCGGGGCUCAACCUGGGAACGGCAUCCGGAACUGUCAGGCUAGAGUGCAGGAGAGGAAGGUAGAAUUCCCGGUGUAGCGGUGAAAUGCGUAGAGAUCGGGAGGAAUACCAGUGGCGAAGGCGGCCUUCUGGACUGACACUGACGCUGAGGUGCGAAAGCGUGGGUAGCAAACAGGAUUAGAUACCCUUGUAGUC
rnacentral:rRNA from 1 species